ensembl:snRNA U6 U6 spliceosomal RNA
GUUCUCCUCUGUCAGGACAUUUUCUGUCUUUGGAACAAUACAAAGAAAACAGGCAUGGCCUCUGCAUAAGUGUGACAUGGAUCCAUGAAGCUGCUGCCCUGGUUUUC